UCACACACACACACACACACAUAUAUAUGUGUGUGUUUGUGUGUGUGU
rnacentral:miRNA from 1 species